GUGUUAAGGUUUGUUGGUGAGCCAAAGGGAAAACCAACGUUGUAAGGUUGUGGUUGGUGAGCCUUUGGGAAAACCAACUGGGUUGGAUUGUGAGCCCGUGAAAAUAAUCGGUUGGUUCUAGUCGGUGAGCCUGUGAAAACCGACCGAGUUCGUUGUGAUCUCGCAAAAUAACAAGUUGGGUUGUGAGCUUGUAAAACAACCGGCUGUAAUCUGAGGGAUUAUAGUGAAAUUCCUAAGAGGUCUUGGGGAGUGGAUGUAGGUGCUGGGAUGCACCGAACCACUAUACUUUUGUUGUGUUUGUGAUGCUCUUUGUUAUCUAACUUCCUCACUCACUUACUUACUUAGAUACUAUGCUUGCUUAACUCUUCUCCGUGCAUCUUUUAGUUGCAAGCAUAUUCAAUUUACUUAAUCAAGUCUCAUUCAAUAUAACAGCAUUAAGACUCAUUGUAUUGAAUUGCAUACUUGGGCAAACUUAGACUAAUCUUUUAUUGAGU
rnacentral:lncRNA from 1 species